rnacentral:rRNA from 1 species
UACGGAGGGUGCGAGCAUUGUCCGGAAUCAUUGGGCGUAAAGGGCGCGUAGGUGGCCCGGUCAGUCUUUGGUGAAAGCGCGGGGCUCAACCCUGCGUCGGCCAGGGAUACUGCCGCGGCUCGAGCACUGUAGAGGCAGGCGGAAUUCCGGGUGUAGCGGUGGAAUGCGUAGAGAUCCGGAAGAACACCGGUGGCGAAGGCGGCCUGCUGGGCAGUUUGGCUGACACUGGAGGCGCGACAGCGUGGGGAGCAAACAGG